CAGUAGCCGCGGGAAUACGUAGGUCCCGAGCGUUGUCCGGAUUUAUUGGGCGUAAAGCGAGCGCAGGCGGUUAGAUAAGUCUGAAGUUAAAGGCUGCGGCUUAACCAUAGUACGCUUUGGAAACUGUUUAACUUGAGUGCAAGAGGGGAGAGUGGAAUUCCAUGUGUAGCGGUGAAAUGCGUAGAUAUUGGGAAGAACACCAGUGGCGAAGGCGGCUCACUGGACCGACGCUGACGCUGAGGCGCGAAAGCGUGGGGAGCAAACAGGAUUAGAUACCCCCGUAGUCCCUGUCUCUUAUACC
rnacentral:rRNA from 1 species